UACGUAGGGUCCGAGCGUUAUCCGGAGUUACUGGGCGUAAAGGGCGUGUAGGCGGAUCGGUAAGUCUACUCUGAAAGCUCCUGGCUAAACUGGGAGAGGCGAGUGGAGACUGUCGGUCUAGAGUGAGGAAGAGGAAAGUGGAAUUCCGCGUGUAGUGGUGAAAUGCGUAGAGAUCCGGAGGAACACCAGUGGCGAAGGCGACACGCUGGGCCGUACCUGACACUAAUACGCGACAGCAUGGGGAGCGAACGGG
rnacentral:rRNA from 1 species